rnacentral:rRNA from 1 species
GAAAUUUGGCUCUUGAUGGAGAUGUUUUGAAGAAAGGGUAAUGUUAAUUUAUAUGUGUGAAGUUAAGCUAUGCUUUAGUAUUAGGGUAGGAAGUGGUAGAUUUAUUAUUAGUACUGUAAGGGAAAGGGCUUAUUUCGUGAAAAGAGAUAGUUGAUUUGUGUACCUUUUGCAUAAGGGAGGUUUUAAAUAAGACUUAUGGUAAUGUUCCCGAAACAAUUAGAUGGGCUAUUUUAAUAAGAGCUUACUGUUGCAUAAGUAGGUUAAAUUUUAAUUUAGUGAUGAAAUAUUAUUCAAAUAUUGAGAUAUCUGGUUCUUUCCUAGGAAAAUUUAGUUUAAUGGGCUUGAGGUUAAGUUUGGGAGGUCUUAUUGGGAUUAGCUAAUGGGAUGAGUUAUAUUUUAUUAUGUCAGUCUUAAACUAGGUUUAAAAGUGGCCUGGGUGCUUAAAUGGUGUUAAAACCAAAAGGUAGAUUUGGGUUUAUUUUAUUGUUUAUUAGCUUGCUGAGGAAAGAAGGCUUGGAAGUUAAAGGUAAGCUAAUAUAAUGGGUGUAUUAGUAGUUAAUUUAAGGUGGUUAAAGUUGGGCUUAGAACUGAUACGAUUUAUAUUAUAAUGAUAAGUUCUUCAAAGGAAUUCGGCAUAAUUUUAGGCUUUGCCUGUUUAUCAAAUACAUGGUUUCUUGUGUUUAUAUAAGAAAUCUGACCUGCUCGCUGACGUGAUGUUAAAGGGCUGCAGUAUAUUGACUGUACAAAGGUAGCAUAAUCAUUAGUCUUUUGAUUGAAGACUGGAAUGAAAGGUUGGACGGAGUCAGACUGUCUCUGGGAAAUUGAUGUGAAAUUUUCUUUUCUGUGAAAAUACAGAGAUGAGUCUAAGGGACGAGAAGACCCUGUUAAGCUUUAUAUUAAGGUUGGAUUUGAUGAGAGGAAUUAAUUUGGGUCUUGAUUUAGUGUUUUGCUGGGGCGGCAAGAAUUUUGUGGCAAUUAUAAGAUGUAAUGAUGGCGGUUGGCGUUGUGAGGAUUGAUCCGUAUUUUUUACVNAY